AGCGUGCGCACUUAGCCAUCUGUUGUUGUUUAACUGCCCUUCUAAAUGUACAGGCGAUCCCGGUAGCAAAAAAACAUAGUUUGACGUGUACCAUCCGGAAGAGAUCAUAUACAGACGAUGCUUCCCGUUCUACUAUGUCUGAUAGUAUCGUCAUCAGUCAACGGAAAGCCGUUCCAAUGGCUGCAAUUACCGUUGCCCGAAGAUGCAAGCUUCCAAUAUCUCCCAUCGAUCGGGUACCCACCAGGCUCACUGGCAUCGCAUACGCUGUUCCAUCUGUGGCUUCACCCUGGUGGACGCUUAAGUUCCUACGAAGCGGGGCGGCUCUGUGACGGAUCCGCUCCCGUCUCAUAUUACCGUUGUGCCGUCUACUGCAAACGGCGUUUCGGCAAGAAAGGUCGGUGCGACACAGUCGCGCAGAAGUGCAAAUGUUUUUAGAACUCGCACAGUGUAAGAUGGAAGAUACUGAUCGUCACAACACACCAUGUUUCAUUCUCUGUCUGUUGAGUUGAUGCUACAAACACAACGUUAGCUGAAGUAUGAUAGGAAUAAUAAAAGAAAUUUUUUUAUACAAUU